rnacentral:rRNA from 1 species
UAGUAAUCGCAGGUCAGCUAUACUGCGGUGAAUGUGUUCCUGAGCCUUGUACACACCGCCCGUCAAGCCACGAAAGGGGGGGGCAUCCUAAGUCGCUGUGCUAACCUUCGGGAGGCAGGCGCCUAAGAUGAACUCCCUGAUUGGGACUAAGUCGUAACAAGGUAGCCGUAGGGGAACCUGCGGCUGGAUCACCUCCUUU